rnacentral:rRNA from 1 species
GACGAACGCUGGCGGCGUGCUUAACACAUGCAAGUCGAACGGAAAGGCCCUGCUCUUGUGGGGUGCUCGAGUGGCGAACGGGUGAGUAACACGCGAGUAACCUGCCCUUGACUUUGGGAUAACUUCAGGAAACUGGGGCUCAUACCGGAUAGGAGCUCCUGCUGCACGGUGGGGGUUGGAAAGUUUCGGUGGUUGGGGAUGGACUCGCGGCUUAUCCGCUUGUUGGUGGGGUAGUGGCUUACCAAGUCUUUGACGGGUAGCCGGCAUGAGAGGUGUACCGGGCACAAGGGGACUGCGGUACGGACCAGACUCCAACGGGAGGCAACAGGGGAAAGUAUGGCACAGUGGGGGGGAGCGUGAUACGGCGGCGCCGCGUGCGGGAUGACGGCCUUCGGGGUGUAAACCGCUUUCGCCUGUGACGAAGCGAGAGUGACGGUAAUGGGUAAGGAAGCACCGGCUAACUACGUG